AAAAAGAACCAUACACUCCCACCAACAAUAAUUGGCAGCGCCUACCACCCAUUCUUCCUUCCUCUCUUUCCUCAUUUUCUUCAAAAACCAAAAAAAAAUAAACAUUUUCUCUUCAUUUCCACAUGAUAGUCUCUCAUGCACACAACAACAUAACACCAUAUGUUCACCAUUCUCUCACCUUCAACCAUAACAACUACUAUAAACUU
rnacentral:lncRNA from 1 species